GACGAACGCUGGCGGCGUGCCUAACACAUGCAAGUCAGGGAGAAAGGGGUAGCAAUACUCCGUGUACACCGGCGCAAGGGUGAGUAACACGUAGGCAACCUGCCUUUAGGACGGGAAUAACUUCGAGAAAUCGAGGAUAAUACCCGGUGAUGCAGCGGCAUCGCAUGAUGACAGUUGUUAAAAGCCGCAAGGUGCCUAAAGAUGGGCCUGCGUCCCAUUAGCUUGUUGGCGGGGUAACGGCCCACCAAGGCUACGAUGGGUAGCUGGUCUGAGAGGACGAUCAGCCACACUGGAACUGAGACACGGUCCAGACUCCUACGGGAGGCAGCAGUGAGGAAUAUUGCGCAAUGCCCGAAAGGGUGACGCAGCGACGCCGCGUGAAGGAUGAAGGCCCUAUGGGUCGUAAACUUCUUUUGCGGGGGAAGAAUUUCUUGCUACAGGCAGGAUUGACUGUACCCCGAGAAAAAGCAUCGGCUAACUACGUGCCAGCAGCCGAC
rnacentral:rRNA from 1 species